rnacentral:rRNA from 1 species
GACCCGUAAUCCGGGUUGCGGACAGUGUCUGGUGGGUAGUUUGACUGGGGCGGUCUCCUCCUAAAGAGUAACGGAGGAGCACGAAGGUUGGCUAAUCCUGGUCGGACAUCAGGAGGUUAGUGCAAUGACAUAAGCCAGCUUGACUGCGAGCGUGACGGCGCGAGCAGGUGCGAAAGCAGGUCAUAGUGAUCCGGUGGUUCUGAAUGGAAGGGCCAUCGCUCAACGGAUAAAAGGUACUCCGGGGAUAACAGGCUGAUACCGCCCAAGAGUUCAUAUCGACGGCGGUGUUUGGCACCUCGAUGUCGGCUCAUCACAUCCUGGGGCUGAAGUAGGUCCCAAGGGUAUGGCUGUUCGCCAUUUAAAGUGGUACGCGAGCUGGGUUUAGAACGUCGUGAGACAGUUCGGUCCCUAUCUGCCGUGGGCGCUGGAGAAUUGAGGGGGGCUGCUCCUAGUACGAGAGGACCGGAGUGGACGCAUCACUGGUGUUCGGGUUGUCAUGCCAAUGGCACUGCCCGGUAGCUAAAUGCGGAAGAGAUAAGUGCUGAAAGCAUCUAAGCACGAAACUUGCCCCGAGAUGAGUUCUCCCUGACUCCUUGAGAGUCCUGAAGGAACGUUGAAGACGACGACGUUGAUAGGCCGGGUGUGUAAGCGCAGCGAUGCGUUGAGCUAACCGGUACUAAUGAACCGUGAGGCUUAACCUUACAACGCCGAAG